UACGUAGGGUGCAAGCGUUGUCCGGAAUUAUUGGGCGUAAAGAGCUCGUAGGCGGUCUGUCGCGUCGGCUGUGAAAUCCCGAGGCUCAACCUCGGGUCUGCAGUCGAUACGGGCAAACUGGAGUGUUGCAGGGGAGACUGGAAUUCCUGGUGUAGCGGUGAAAUGCGCAGAUAUCAGGAGGAACACCGGUGGCGAAGGCGGGUCUCUGGGCAACAACUGACGCUGAGGCACGAAAGCGUGGGGAUCAAACAGG
rnacentral:rRNA from 1 species